rnacentral:rRNA from 1 species
CAGCAGCCGCGGUAAUACGAAGGGGGCUAGCGUUGUUCGGAAUCACUGGGCGUAAAGCGCACGUAGGCGGAUCAUUAAGUCAGGGGUGAAAUCCCGAGGCUCAACCUCGGAACUGCCUUUGAUACUGGUGAUCUUGAGUCCGGGAGAGGUGAGUGGAACUGCGAGUGUAGAGGUGAAAUUCGUAGAUAUUCGCAAGAACACCAGUGGCGAAGGCGGCUCACUGGCCCGGAACUGACGCUGAGGUGCGAAAGCGUGGGGAGCAAACAGGAUUAGAUACCCCAGUAGUCCCUGUCUCUUAUAC